CAUGGUUGUCGUCAGCUCGUGUCGUGAGAUGUUGGUUAAGUCCGCAACGAGCGCAACCCCUAUUGUUAGUUGCCAUCAUUCAGUUGGGCACUCUAGCGAGACUGCCGGUAAUAAACCGGAGGAAGGUGGGGAUGACGUCAAAUCAUCAUGCCCCUUGUGACCUGGGCUACACACGUGCUACAAUGGUUGGUACAACGAGUUGCGAGUCGGUGACGGCGAGCUAAUCUCUUAAAGCCAAUCUCAGUUCGGAUUGUAGGCUGCAACUCGCCUACAUGAAGUCGGAAUCGCUAGUAAUCGCGGAUCAGCACGCCGCGGUGAAUACGUUCCCGGGCCUU
rnacentral:rRNA from 1 species